AACGGGUUAAUAUUCCCGUACUUGGUAUAAUUGCGAUGGGGGGACGGAGCAGGCUAAACAAGCAUGGCGUUGGUUGUCCAUGUGAAAGUGAGUAGGUUGAGAGUUUAGGAAAAUCCGGACUCUUAAGACUGAGACACGAGACGAGCACCCAAGGGUGUGAAGUUGUUGAUGCCAUACUUCCAGGAAAAGCCUCUAAGCUUCA
rnacentral:rRNA from 13 species